rnacentral:misc_RNA from 1 species
UUUUUCUAAGGUUUGUGCCAUUGGCUGCCAGUGGUUUUCUUUAGCUCCUUUGGAUGAUUCUUUCUACGUCAAACAAAUAGCUUCAUCAAGAACUUUUUGCAUAUACGAGGAGGUGGAGCAAAUGCGAAAUAUAGGACUCAUUAAAGGGGGAACAUUAGAGAAUGCUAUUGUUUGCAGUGCCAGUAAAGGCUGGUUGAAUCCACCACUUCGUUUCCCUGAUGAACCUUGUCGUCAUAAGAUCUUGGAUCUUAUUGGUGACCUUUCCCUGUUUGCACGGCUUGGUAAUCAAGGGCUUCCAGUGGCACACAUAAUUGCUUACAAGGGUG